rnacentral:misc_RNA from 1 species
UAAUAUCUCAACUCUGACCUUGGGGGGUUUCUUCCAAGGGUGAAGUUUGGAUGGUGGAGGUGUGCUGGCUGCUCCGUCGGUCAGCUCCUCUGAAAAAAAUAAGCAAAGGGAAACAACGCACCUGUUCCUGCAUCUCAUGCUUUUGGCAUUGAUAAUUGUCUAUGCCUGUCGUGGCUCAGAUGCUUUUUGGAUCGAGGGGUCUUUGCUUACAGUCGUCCUUUUUUGGACCUUUUGAC